rnacentral:tRNA from 1 species
GGCCUUGUAGUGAAAUUCAUGGUGGGUUGCAAGCUCAUUGAUGUGCAUUGGUUUGCACCGAGGUCU